AUUGAACGCUGGCGGCAGGCCUAACACAUGCAAGUCGAGCGAGCGGCGGACGGGUGAGUAAUGUAUGGGGACUGCCCGAUCGAGGGUGCUGACUACUGGAAACGGUGGCUAAUACCGCAUACUAUCGGAUAACCCAUAUGGGAUUAGCUAGUAGGUGGGGUAAAGGCUCACCUAGGCGACGAGCUCUAGCUGGUCUGAGAGGAUGAUCGGCCACACUGGGACUGAGACACGGCCCAGACUCCUACGGAGGCAGCAGUGGGGAAUAUUGCGCAAUGGGCGCAAGCCUGAUGGAGCCAGGCCGCGUGAAUGAAGAAGGCCUUCGGGUUGUAAAGUACUUUCAGCGGGGAGGCGUUACCCGCCGAGGAAGCACCGGCUAACUCCGUGCCAGCCGCCGCGGUAAUUC
rnacentral:rRNA from 1 species